rnacentral:rRNA from 1 species
AACGAACGCUGGCGGCAUGCCUAACACAUGCAAGUCGAACGAGACCUUCGGGUCUAGUGGCGCACGGGUGCGUCACGCGUGGGAACCUUCCCUUAGGUUCGGAAUAACUCCCCGAAAGGGGUGCUAAUACCGGAUAAUGUCUUCGGACCAAAGAUUUAUCGCCUUUGGAUGGGCCCGCGUUGGAUUAGCUAGUUGGUAGGGUAAAAGCCUACCAAGGCGACGAUCCAUAGCUGGUCAGAGAGGAUGAUUAGCCACACUGGGACUGGGAAACGGCCCAGACUCCUACGGGAGGCAGCAGUGGGGAAUAGUGGAAAGUGGGCGAAAGGAUGAUCGAGCACGGCCGCGUGAGUGAUGAAGGCCUUAGGGUUGUAAAGCUCUUUUACCCGGGAUGAUAAUGACAGUACCGGGAGAAUAAGCUCCGGCUAACUCCGUG